rnacentral:rRNA from 1 species
ACUCCUACUGGAGGCAGCAGUGGGGAAUAUUGCACAAUGGGCGCAAGCCUGAUGCAGCCAUGCCGCGUGUAUGAAGAAGGCCUUCGGGUUGUAAAGUACUUUCAGCAGUGAGGAAGGGUGGGUAGUGUUAAUAGCAUACUCAUUUGUACGUUAGCUGCAGAAGAAGCACCGGCUAACUCCGUGCCAGCAGCCGCGGUAAUACGGAGGGUGCGAGCGUUAAUCGGAAUUACUGGGCGUAAAGCGCAUGCAGGUGGUUUGUUAAGUCAGAUGUGAAAGCCCGGGGCUCAACCUCGGAAUUGCAUUUGAAACUGGCAAACUAGAGUACUGUAGAGGGGGUUAGAAUUUCAGGUGUAGCGGUGAAAUGCGUAGAGAUCUGAAGGAAUACCGGUGGCGAAGGCGGCCCCUGGACAGAUACUGACACUCAGAUGCGAAAGCGUGGGAGC